GGCAGCGUGGCCUAGUGGAAAGAGCACAGGCCUGGGAGUCAGAGGACCUGGAUCCUAAUUCCAGCUUUGCCA
rnacentral:tRNA from 1 species